rnacentral:rRNA from 1 species
GUCUUUUUGGUUAUUUAAUAUAAAGUCUGACCUGCCCACUGAAUUUAUUUUGAAGGGCCGCAGUAUUUUGACUGUGCAAAGGUAGCAUAAUCAUUAGUCUUUUAAUUGAAGGCUGGUAUGAAUGGUUGGAUGAGGUACAAGCUGUGUCAUAAAAAUUAAUUUUUGAAUUUACCUUUUUAGUCAAAAGGCUAAAAUAACAUUAAAAGACGAGAAGACCCUAUAGAGCUUUAUAUAAUUUAUAUUUAAAUUAUUAAGAUUUUUUAAAUUUAAUUAUUUUAUUAUAUUUUGUUGGGGUGACAAUAAAAUUUAUAAAACUUUUAUUUUUAUUAACCAUUUAUUUAUGUUUAUAUGAUCCAGUUUUAUUGAUUAUAAAUUUAAGUUACCUUAGGGAUAACAGCGUAAUUUUUUUUGAGAGUUCUUAUCGACAAAAAAGAUUGCGACCUCGAUGUUGGAUUAAGAGUAAUUUUGGGUGUAGAAGUUCAAAGUUUAAGUCUGUUCGACUUUUAAAUUCUUACAU